rnacentral:rRNA from 1 species
GUGUCAGCAGCCGCGGUAAUACGGAGGGUGCAAGCGUUGUUCGGAAUUAUUGGGCGUAAAGGGCGUGUAGGUGGCUGUCCAAGUCUGGUGUGAAAGCCCACGGCUCAACCGUGGAACUGCAUUGGAAACUGGAUAGCUCGAGUAUUGGAGGGGGUCGCGGAAUUCCCGGUGUAGAGGUGAAAUUCGUAGAUAUCGGGAGGAACACCAGUGGCGAAGGCGGCGACCUGGCCAAUUACUGACACUGAGACGCGAAAGCGUGGGGAGCAAACAGGAUUAGAUACCCCUGUAGUCC